AUUAUAUAAAAUAAAUAAAUAAAGCAAAAUAAGGGACUAAAAUAGAACAUGCGAAAAGGAAUAGAGACCAAAUGGGUAAUUAUUUCAAAUCCAGUACACGUGCUGUUUCCAGGAGUGACUAAUGGUCAGAGGACCAAAAUGAAAAUAAAAUUAAAUUAAAUGGUAAAUUUAAAAGAGAAAAGAAAAAUCAAAUCAGUAUUAUAUCAAAAUAUGCUCAAAAGUGGGAGGAUCUGGGCAACAAUUAUCCCACCCCUUUAAAAACAGGCAUAUCUAAAGGAGUUCGGGUCGGGCAUUCGGGUCAUGUCUUAAAACAGCACCGUUUUGGGGCUUCUGGAACCUGGCCAAAAUGAUGUCGUAUCAUGGUCCCUAUAUAUACCAAAAAAAAAUUUUAAAAAUCAUUUCUAAGCUCACUUUUUUUUUAAAUAAAAAAACUUUAGGGCCCCAUUUUUUUUCUCCCGUCCUUUCCCUUAUUUGGCAUUGGUGCCGGCGAAUCUCCGCCAUGGUCACUAGUCAUCGACAAUGGAAACUACUGCCUCCGGUGGCCGAAGACCCCAAAAAGCUUCAUUUUAUCCCUAUUUUUUAAGGGAAAUCGAAUCUGGGGUCAAAAUCCCUAAGAUCUGGUCAACGCUCAAUAACAAAAAAGAAGACUUUUUGGCUUUUAUCCCUUUUUGGUGCAGCCGUAAGCGAAUCCCAAGAGAUUUGACAACCUUCAAGGUCAAAAGGACCACCGACAACGAUGGCACAAGUGAAAGCUUGAGUCUUUUGUAUUUAUAUAUAUAUGCUUUGAAAGAAAAUGAGAAUACCUUCUUUCUUUUUUUUUAAGCAUUUGUAGUUCUUUGCUUUCUUGUAUUCUAUUUUUUGAUUCAC
rnacentral:lncRNA from 1 species